UAGGGAAUCUUCCACAAUGGGCGAAAGCCUGAUGGAGCAACGCCGCGUGAGCGAAGAAGGUCUUCGGAUCGUAAAGCUCUGUUGUAAGGGAAGAAUAAGCGCAGCAGUUACUGGCUGCGCCCUGACGGUACCUUACUAGAAAGCCACGGCUAACUACGUGCCAGCAGCCGCGGUAAUACGUAGGUGGCAAGCGUUGUCCGGAAUUAUUGGGCGUAAAGCGCGCGCAGGCGGUCUCUUAAGUCUGAUGUGAAAGCCCCCGGCUCAACCGGGGAGGGUCAUUGGAAACUGGGAGACUUGAGUGCAGGAGAGGGAAGCGGAAUUCCAUGUGUAGCGGUGAAAUGCGUAGAGAUAUGGAGGAACACCAGUGGCGAAGGCGGCUUCCUGGCCUGUAACUGACGCUGAGGCGCGAAAGCGUGGGGAGCAAACAGGAUUAGAUACCCUGGUAGUCCACGCCGCAAACGAUGAGUGCUAGGUGUUAGGGGGUUUCCGCCCCUUAGUGCUGCAGCUAACGCAUUAAGCACUCCGCCUGGGGAGUACGGUCGCAAGACUGA
rnacentral:rRNA from 1 species